rnacentral:rRNA from 1 species
CGGGGUGCACCAGGCGCGAAAACUUUGCAAUGCGGGAAACCGUGACAAGGGAACUCUGAGUGCCCGUAAAAUCGGGCUGUCCAUCGGUUUAAAAAACCGGUGAAGAAAGGGCCGGGCAAGACCGGUGCCAGCCGCCGCGGUAAUACCGGCGGCUCGAGUGGUGGCCACUAUUACUGGGCUUAAAGCGUUCGUAGCUGGUUUGUUAAGUCUCUGGGGAAAUCUUCCGGCUUAACCGGAAGGCGUCUCAGGGAUACUGGCAGACUAGGGACCGGGAGAGGUGAGAGGUACUCCAGGGGUAGGAGUGAAAUCCUGUAAUCCUUGGGGGACCACCUGUGGCGAAGGCGUCUCACCAGAACGGCUCCGACAGUGAGGGACGAAAGCUGGGGGAGCAAACCGGAUUAGAUACCCGGGUAGUCCCAGCUGUAAACGAUGCGCGUUAGGUGUAUCAGUGACCACGAGUCACUGAGGUGCCGAAGAGAAAUCGUGAAACGUGCCGCCUGGGAAGUACGGUCGCAAGGCUGAAACUUAAAGGAAUUGGCGGGGG